UCCCUACUCCAAAGAAGCUGCGCGUACUGCAUUAGAUUUGGAAACCCUUCUUCUUGUGCUGAUGAUGAUAGCAAGGGUUGUUGUUGUGGUGGUGGUGUUUGAUCAUAAACAUGUUGUGGUGGUGGUGCAAGAGGUGCAAGAGCUGAAGAACCAUAAUAAUAACUAUGAUGAUUAUUAUUAUUAUUGCAAGGUGGUGAUGAUGAUGAUAUUGGAGGAGGAGGAAGAAGAACAUGUUCAGGGAAAUUGAGCUUGGCUUUGGAGCCUUUGAACUUCAAAGCAGCAGCAUC
rnacentral:lncRNA from 1 species